UAUGUUUAUACGUAUCUAUACAUAUCUGGUUUUUCAAGCUUAUACGAUUCUAUACAUCUUUGGCUCUUUUUGUUUAUACGUUUCUAUACAUCUUUGGCUCUUUACUUUUAUACGUAUAUAUACAUAUUUGGCUCUUUAUGUUUAUACGUUUCUAUUCAUCUUUGGCUCUUUAUGUUUAUACGUUUAUAUACAUAUUUGGCUCUUUGUUUGUAUACGUAUUUAUACAUCACUGGCUCUUUGCAGU
rnacentral:lncRNA from 1 species